rnacentral:rRNA from 1 species
AUACGGAGGGUGCAAGCGUUGUUCGGAAUCAUUGGGCGUAAAGCGCGUGUAGGCGGCUAGCUAAGUCUGGUGUGAAAGCCCUGGGCUUAACCCAGGAAGUGCAUUGGAUACUGGCUAGCUAGAGGACGAGAGAGGGAAGUGGAAUUCCUGGUGUAGGGGUGAAAUCCGUAGAUAUCAGGAGGAACAUCGGUGGCGAAGGCGACUUCCUGGCUCGUAUCUGACGCUGAGACGCGAAAGCGUGGGGAGCAAACAGGAUUAGAAACCCCAGUAGUCC